UUAUGCCUAAAUUGUUAAUAGUUAUAUUAUUGUUGAAUGAUAUCUGCAUAUGAGAGGCUCCAAUAUGUGUUCUUUCUUGCUUUGAUUAAUACAAUCAAGAAUACAUCCCUGCUCAUCAGUUAAUGCAUCCUCCAAAAACACAAAGUAUAUGCUAGUCCUGUUUAUGGUUUCUUUCUAACACCUCAUUUAUUGUGGGGUUGAUCGCUGAUAAAGGAGAAGAAACAAAAAUGAAAUAAAAAAUUGUGUUUUAUGUUGUUUCUUAUAGUGAAAAUUAAAAUGAUCUGCACUCCACUGCUGGAUGUUAUCUUCUCUUGGUUUCCAAAUGACACAAGAUUUGAGAUUCAAAGUUUGAAUAAAUAUACAUUUUUACUUUUAUUUUUAGCCCCAGGUCUUUCAGCAAUCAAAGGAAAGCCUUACUCAAAUAGGGACUGGGUUUGAAUAUAGGCUGAAACAUGAGUUGAAGGGUCCUAGCUAUGGUCUUCUCGAUUCACCACUGCGAGAUUUUAAAUGCAUGUCCUUGACUGGGUUAUAAGAAGCCAUUUCUGUCUGGAGUUUUCUAAUUUACCUGGGAAUAAUUUCCACAAUGUGCCUUACAUCACUACUGCUUUGAUGGAUGCGAAGCUUGGCACGGAAGGGCGCAAGGAUCUUUUUGAUUGGCUAUCAAGGCAACUUAGUGGAUUAAGCAAUUUUCUUGAUGCUGUAAAUCUGAAUUAUGUAUUGUUUCAAUUUGUUAUGCUAGAUGGAUGUGACUUGUGAAUGAAAACUUAGAAUAGUUGUAUUGUGUCGAAUGUUAAUGAAUUAUGUAUUGUGUCGAAUGUUAAUGAUUCAGUUAAUUUGAA